UUUUUUUUUUUUUUUUUUUUUUUUGCGUGGGGAGGGGAAAAUGCUAUUACGCAUGCCCAGUGACCCGCAUCACUGGGUUAUGUGGGAGUCGGUCGGAUGCCGUUGCCAUACCCACUAAAAACCCCUCUUCCUUCUUCCUCCGCUUAGGGGGCAGACAACCCCGGUAAAACCUGUCGGUAGUCAUCAGAGUUGUCCAUUCGUGCCCCGUUGUAUCUACUUCUUCGGGCAGUUACUGCUCAUGUCGUCCUCUCAGCCAGUUCAGAAUACUGGGCUGGUCUCCUUCUACGGUUUGCCGUUGUUUCAUGAUCUUGCCCUCAUUGCUCCGCGUAGUUGUUGUUUCGCUCGUUCUUCUCCUUGCCUCUUCCCAGGCCCUCGCUGUCACCCUCCUGUGACACAUGACGGUCUUGCAGAAUUGCCUGAAUUUAUUCCAGCUCUCGUCCUUGGCGGUCACCGUGGCGAUCAGAUUGCCCACGUCUAUCUUCCCGCCCAGGGCGUUCUCCAGCUCGAUCCUUCUGUCCGUCCACUUCGGGCACGCGAAGAGGGCGUGCUCUGCAUCGUCGUUCGGGUCUCCACAGUUGCUGUCGCUGUCCUUGCCAAUCCUUUUCCUAUAGACAUCGAAGCUCCCA
rnacentral:misc_RNA from 1 species